GACGAACGCUGUUGGCGUGCCUAACACAUGCAAGUCGAGCGAAGUGAGUACUACGGUACGAACUUAGCGGCGGACGGGUGAGUAACGCGUGGACAAUCUACCCUGUAGACUGGGAUAACACCUCGAAAGGGGUGCUAAUACCGGAUAAUGUCGAGAAGCGGCAUCGCUUUUCGAAGAAAGGAGAGAAUCCGCUAUAGGAGGAGUCCGCGUCCCAUUAGCUAGUUGGUGAGGGUAACGGCCCACCAAGGCGACGAUGGGUAGCCGGCCUGAGAGGGUGAACGGCCACACUGGAACUGAGACACGGUCCAGACUCCUACGGGGGGCAGAAGUGGGGAAUAUUGUGCAAUGGGGGAAACCCUGACACAGCAACGCCGCGUGAGCGAAGAAGGCCUUCGGGUUGUAAAGCUCAAUAGUAUGGGAAGAUAAUGACGGUACCAUACGAAAGCCCCGGCUAACUACGUGCCAGCAGCCGCUGUAAGAC
rnacentral:rRNA from 1 species